CCUACGGGUGGCUGCAGUGAGGAAUAUUUGUCAAUGGCCGGAAGGCUGAACCAGCCAAGUAGCGUGAAGGAUGACUUCCCUAUGGGUUGUAAACUUCUUUUAUAAAGGAAUAAAACGAGGCACGUGUGCCUUUUUGCAUGUACUUUAUGAAUAAGGAUCGGCUAACUCCGUGCCAGCAGCCGCGGUAAUACGGAGGAUCCGAGCGUUAUCCGGAUUUAUUGGGUUUAAAGGGAGCGUAGAUGGGUUGUUAAGUCAGUUGUGAAAGUUUGCGGCUCAACCGUAAAAUUGCAAUUGAUACUGGCAGUCGUGAGUACAGUUGAGGUAGGCGGAAUUCGUGGUGUAGCGGUGAAAUGCUUAGAUAUCACGAAGAACCCCGAUUGCGAAGGCAGCUUACUAAACUGUGACUGACAUUGAUGCUCGAAAGUGUGGGUAUCAAACAGGAUUAGAUACCCUAGUAGUC
rnacentral:rRNA from 1 species